ACNUUUAAAGGAAAACAGACAUC
rnacentral:tRNA from 1 species